AGUGGACGCUGGCGGUAGGCCUAACACAUGCAAGUCGAACGGCAGCACAGUUAUAGCUUGCUCUUACGGUUGGCGAGUGGCGGGUGGGUGAUGAAUACAUCGGAAUCUACUUUGUCGUGGGGGCUAACGGAGGGAAACUAACGCUAAUACGGCAUACUACCUACGGGUGAGAGCAGGGGAUCUUCGGACCUUGCGCGAGUGCAUGAGCCGAUGCCGGAUGAGCUAGUUGGCGGGGUAAAGGCCCACCAAGGCGACGAUCCGUAGCUGGUCUGAGAGGGUGAUCAGGCACGCUGGAGCUGACAGACGGUCCAGGAUCCUGCGGCAGGCCGGAGUGGGACAUGUUGGACAAUGGGCGCAAGCCUGAUCCAGCUAUGCCGCCUGAGUCAAGAAGGCCUUCGGCUUGUAAAGCCCUUUUGUUGUGAAAGACGAGCAGCAGGUUAACACAGCGCUGUUCUGACGGUACCAAAGAAUAAGCACCGGCUAACUUCGUG
rnacentral:rRNA from 1 species